UACGAAGGGGGCUAGCGUUGCUCGGAAUCACUGGGCGUAAAGGGUGCGUAGGCGGGUUUUAAGUCAGAGGUGAAAUCCUGGAGCUCAACUCCAGAACUGCCUUUGAUACUGAAAGUCUUGAGUAUGGGAGAGGUGAGUGGAACUGCGAGUGUAGAGGUGAAAUUCGUAGAUAUUCGCAAGAACACCAGUGGCGAAGGCGGCUCACUGGCCCAUAACUGACGCUGAGGCACGAAAGCGUGGGGAGCAAAC
rnacentral:rRNA from 1 species